rnacentral:tRNA from 1 species
GGGGUUGUGGCUCAGUGGUAGAGCACUCACCUAGCACACACUAGGCACUGGGUUCGAUCCCCAGCACCUCA